AGGUAUAAUUUACUUGAUCUUGAAAGAAUCCUACUUGGAUAACUGUGGUAAUUCUAGAGCUAAUACAUGCCCUAAAGCUCUGACCUCGCGGGAAGAGUGCAUUUAUUAGAUCAAAACCAAGCGGCUUCGGCCGUCUACCACUGACUUAAAGUAACUAAGCUGAUCGUAUGGUCUUGUACCGACGACGUAUCUUUCAAGUAUCUGCCUUAUCAACUUUCGAUGGUAGUGUAGUGGACUACCAUGGUUGUGACGGGUAACGGAGGAUAAGGGUUCGACUCCGGAGAGGGAGCUUGAGACACGGCUACCAUGUCUAAGGACAGCAGCAGGCGCGCAAAUUACCCACUCUCAGAACGAGGAGGUAGUGACGAAAAAUAACGAGACCGUUCUCUAUGAGGCCGGUCAUCGGAAUGGGUACAAUCUAAACCCUUUAACGAGUAUCUAUGAAAGGGCAAGUCUGGUGCCAGCAGCCGCGGUAAUUCCAGCUCUCAAAAUGCAUAGAAUUAUUGCUGCGGUUAAAAAGCUCGUAGUUGGAUCUGUGCUGGGAACUGGGUCCGCCUUCGGGUGUGCACUCAGAUUCCCGGCUUUUUGCUGGUUUUCCCGUUGUGGCCUUUACCGGUUGCAGCGGGUGGCUGGCGAGUUUACCUUGAAGAAAUCAAAGUGCUUAAUACAGGCGAUUUGCUUGAAUGUGGUGCAUGGAAUAAUAGAAAAGGAUUUCGGUUCUCUUUUAUUGGUUUUACGAGCUGAGAUAAUGGUUAACAGAGACAAACGGGGGCAUUCGUAUCGUUGCGUGAGAGGUGAAAUUCUUGGACCGCAGCGAGACGAACUACAGCGAAAGCAUUUGCCAAG
rnacentral:rRNA from 1 species